rnacentral:rRNA from 1 species
GACGUAGGGCGCGAGCGUUGUCCGGAUUUAUUGGGCGUAAAGAGCUCGUAGGCGGCUUGUCGCGUCGACUGUGAAAACCCGGAGCUCAACUCCGGGCCUGCAGUCGAUACGGGCAGACUGGAGUUCGGCAGGGGAGACUGGAAUUCCUGGUGUAGCGGUGAAAUGCGCAGAUAUCAGGAGGAACACCGGUGGCGAAGGCGGGUCUCUGGGCCGAUACUGACGCUGAGGAGCGAAAGCGUGGGGAGCGAACAGG